UACGUAGGGGGCAAGCGUUGUCCGGAUUUAUUGGGCGUAAAGGGCGUGUAGGCGGUUAGGUAGGUCGGUUGUGAAAACUCGAGGCUCAACCUCGAGACGCCGAUGGAAACCAUCUGACUAGAGUCCGGUAGGGGAGUGUGGAAUUCCCGGUGUAGCGGUGAAAUGCGCAGAUAUCGGGAGGAACACCAGUAGCGAAGGCGACACUCUGGGCUGGUACUGACGCUGAGGAGCGAAAGCGUGGGGAGCGAACAGG
rnacentral:rRNA from 1 species